CCUACGGGAGGCAGCAGUGGGGAAUAUUGGACAAUGGGGGGAACCCUGAUCCAGCCAUGCCGCGGGUGUGAAGAAGGCCCUCGGGUUGUAAAGCACUUUCAGUGAGGAAGAACGCCUGGUGGUUAAUACCCAUCAGGAAAGACAUCACUCACAGAAGAAGCACCGGCUAACUCCGUGCCAGCAGCCGCGGUAAUACGGAGGGUGCGAGCGUUAAUCGGAAUUACUGGGCGUAAAGCGCGCGUAGGUGGCUUGAUAAGCCGGUUGUGAAAGCCCCGGGCUCAACCUGGGAACGGCAUCCGGAACUGUCAAGCUAGAGUGCAGGAGAGGAAGGUAGAAUUCCCGGUGUAGCGGUGAAAUGCGUAGAGAUCGGGAGGAAUACCAGUGGCGAAGGCGGCCUUCUGGACUGACACUGACACUGAGGUGCGAAAGCGUGGGUAGCAAACAGGAUUAGAUACCCUGGUAGUC
rnacentral:rRNA from 1 species